GGGGGAUAUUGCACAAUGGGGGAAACCCUGAUGCAGCGACGCCGCGUGGAGGAAGAAGGUUUUCGGAUUGUAAACUCCUGUCGUUAGGGACGAUAAUGACGGUACCUAACAAGAAAGCACCGGCUAACUACGUGCCAGCAGCCGCGGUAAAACGUAGGGUGCAAGCGUUGUCCGGAAUUACUGGGUGUAAAGGGAGCGCAGGCGGGAAGACAAGUUGGAAGUGAAAACCAUGGGCUCAACCCAUGAAUUGCUUUCAAAACUGUUUUUCUUGAGUAGUGCAGAGGUAGAUGGAAUUCCCGGUGUAGCGGUGGAAUGCGUAGAUAUCGGGAGGAACACCAGUGGCGAAGGCGGUCUACUGGGCACCAACUGACGCUGAGGCUCGAAAGCAUGGGUAGCAAACAGGAUUAGAUACCCUGGUAGUCCAUGCCGUAAACGAUGAUUACUAGGUGUUGGGGGAUUGACCCCCUCAGUGCCGCAGUUAACACAAUAAGUAAUCCACCUGGGGAGUACGACCGCAAGGUUGAAACUCAAAGGAAUUGACGGGGGCCCGCACAAGCAGUGGAGUAUGUGGUUUAAUUCGAAGCAACGCGAAGAACCUUACCAGGUCUUGACAUCCGAUGCAUAGCACAGAGAUGUGUGAAAUCCUUCGGGACAUCGAGACAGGUGGUGCAUGGUUGUCGUCAGCUCGUGUCGUGAGAUGUUGGGUUAAGUCCCGCAACGAGCGCAACCUUUAUUGCCAGUUACUACGUUAAGAGGACUCUGGCGAGACUGCCGUUGACAAAACGGAGGAAGGUGGGGAUGACGUCAAAUCAUCAUGCCCUUUAUGACCUGGGCUACACACGUACUACAAUGGCGUUAAACAAAGAGAAGCAAGACCGCGAGGUGGAGCAAAACUCAAAAACAACGUCUCAGUUCAGAUUGCAGGCUGCAACUCGCCUGCAUGAAGUCGGAAUUGCUAGUAAUCGCGGAUCAGCAUGCCGCGGUGAAUACGUUCCCG
rnacentral:rRNA from 1 species